rnacentral:rRNA from 1 species
UACGUAGGUGGCAAGCGUUGUCCGGAAUUACUGGGUGUAAAGGGAGCGUAGGCGGGAGUGCAAGUUGAAUGUGAAAACGAUGGGCUCAACCCAUCGUUGCGUUCAAAACUGCAUUUCUUGAGUGAAGUAGAGGUAAGCGGAAUUCCUAGUGUAGCGGUGAAAUGCGUAAAUAUUAGGAGGAACACCAGUGGCGAAGGCGGCUUACUGGGCUUUAACUGACGCUGAGGCUCGAAAGCGUGGGUAGCAAACAGG